rnacentral:rRNA from 1 species
UACGUAGGGUGCGAGCGUUGUCCGGACUUAUUGGGCGUAAAGAGCUCGUAGGCGGCUUGUCGCGUCGGAUGUGAAAGCCCGGGGCUUAACUUCGGGUCUGCAUUCGAUACGGGCAGGCUAGAGUUCGGUAGGGGAGAUCGGAAUUCCUGGUGUAGCGGUGAAAUGCGCAGAUAUCAGGAGGAACACCGGUGGCGAAGGCGGAUCUCUGGGCCGAUACUGACGCUGAGGAGCGAAAGCGUGGGGAGCGAACAGG